UACGGAGGGUGCAAGCGUUGUUCGGAAUCACUGGGCGUAAAGCGCGUGCAGGCGGCUCGUUAAGUCUGGUGUGAAAGCCCGGGGCUCACCCCCGGAAGUGCACUGGAUACUGGCGAGCUCGAGUCCCGGAGAGGAGGGUGGAAUUCCUGGUGUAGCGGUGAAAUGCGUAGAUAUCAGGAGGAACACCGGCGGCGAAGGCGGCCCUCUGGACGGUGACUGACGCUGAGACGCGAAAGCGUGGGGAGCAAACAGG
rnacentral:rRNA from 1 species